GCCUAACUGCAUGGCGGGAAACCCUCAUCGAUCACGAACGUGACCGUUGAAAUUUCCUGCGCUUGAACCGGACAUGACCGGACACGUAACGCACUCGGAGGAACUGGGACAGGAGCGCCUGAGGGCACGAAAGACAGUAUCUGUAGCAGGAGGUGAAAGAUGAGCGAACAUCACUAAUGGUCCAAGUGGGAGCGGCGCCGCACACACAGCGGUGAGCUGCGCCAGAACGGAGUUCCAGCGAAAGCCGCGUCCUCUCCUGCCGCCCCGCAGUCUAAGGAAUUGUCCAAGCCCUGUUACUUCUUACCCACAGCGAUGCUCUUCACCAGGACACCUUUUUCCCCACAUUAAUGAGAAUUAACCGGCCAUUCCUUCUGUAAGCUACAUUCUGCGCCGCCCUCCUCGGCAGAACCGUCAUCCUCUUUAACAAGAAUGCUAACUGGCGCGGUGCUGCGCUCCGCUCAUUGCAGCGAAUCCUUCCAAGCGACGAGAAUCGAGCGAGUUCUGUAAAGAACGGCGGAGCUCGAGUGUCUGCCACCGGUACCCAGAUGAUGUUCAUCUUCCCUACUGACCGUGGAAUGCCCGUGUUCUCCGAUUUCACAUUCCCAUGCUGGGCCUUAAACAUGUCUGCUUUCUCAUGGAGGGGACCCCGGGUUCGAGGCGGGAGCAAAGGGAAGUUUUACUGCUGCCACAAAGUGAAACAAGCAGACUUUAUUAGUUCUUCCAGCCAAGGCGGAGGGAAGCUGUAAGCGGGAGAGAGAAGGAGGAAGGAGCAGAUUUUUCCACGCCGCGAUAAAUCCAGAGCGGCGUGAGGGGUGCCGGGCGACGAACGCUCCGCUCUGGGCUCCUGUCUAAGGUGGAAAGAGGGGGAAAUGAGCUCCAGGAGCAGCCCGUUGUCAGUCAUGUGGCCUUAAUGAGGUCCAUACACUGCUUUUUCUCUGGCUCACACACACACACACACAUACAUAACCAGAAGGCCUGUGCUGGAAGGACAGAGCCGAGCAAAGCGCUAUUUCGCUUAUUCAUUGCCAUUAUAUCGCUAAACUAGCGUGCUGCCGACACGUAAAGCAAUUCGAAGGACGUGUGAUGGCAGCGCCCAGGAACUUGCUUAUCGCUGUAAGGUUGUAAUGAGUCUCCUGGCCUCCAGCUCUCUUUGCUCGUUUUGUCUGAAACAUAAAAUCACUCCGAACGCCCGCGCUUUUAUAUCCUCUCAAGACUCCUGUUAGAGAUCUUUUCCUUUGGUUUGUAUUGUUUACGAGAGCGCAGAUCACUGCUCUGUUUUACAACCCUGGGCCGGUCUCCAACGUCGAAUGAAUUAAAUGUGCUUGCGUCUCUUUGAAGGUUACGCUCCUGCCAAAAAUGUGCGCUCGGCUCAAUAAAAACCGCGACGCGCUAAUGGCUUUUGUUUCUCCGGCGAACCGGCAAUUAAUGUUUUCUUUCCCUUCUCUCUCUCUUUUUUUUUUUUAACCGAGGACCCGCGGAGCAGCAAAUCAAAAGUGUAAUGAAUUAAAGUUUAUAAUUGGUCGAGGAUCGAAAAUGACCUAAUGACCGAAAUGUGCAGCUGUUAAAAAAGCCUGAAUGCGUUUACGAUGUUGGAAGCGGCUUAGUGUUCAUUUCCUCUCUAUUUUUUGGGGGGGGUUGCGACCGCAUCCACUGCAAGACAUUUUUGCUGCCUCUAAAUGAGAUUGACGUUUCUGCGUGUGACCGUUCGGACAGAGCGACGCUCCCGAGCGAUCGCCGCUUCGCAUUUGGCGCCCGUGCCGCAGAAACGCAGCCCUCCCGUGAUUGAAACGUACGGAAUUUGGUAGCCCGAGAGUCGAGCUCUGCUGCGCCUGCUCACGCACGUGUCCGGUGGAGAAGACCGUGACCUCUCACCUUUCAGGUGUCCCCCAUUCCAGCUGGUGAUGACUUGUGAUUUUUUUUUUAAAAUGAACGACUCCUAUAAGAGAGUGCUUUUAUCGCUGCUCGCUGUUUUAGUGGAACAUUUUACAGAGGGUUCAAGUGCAGGGCUGUUUUUUAACAGCUGCUUAACUGUUUCGCCACCUGCUGCCUGGCAGUUUUCGCUGUCCUCUCCAAGUGAGGACAGACUCCUCUGUAUGGAAUGGUGAACAAUUCGCAAGUGACUCACUUCAUACAGGUUCUUUUAAUGUUAUCCUUCGUUCAUUUUCCGACACUUUAUUUCAAGAGUGACUCACGAUGUCAGCUUUGUACACUAAGCGUGUUACACUGAUUUACCCAUUUAUAUAACAGGGUCGUUUUUACUGUAUCUGCUCAGGGUAAGUACCAUAUUGCAAGGUAUUGCAGUGGGAGGGGGUGUUCGAACCUGGGUUCUUUGAACGCAAGGAGAUCUCUCUAAGCACUGUGCCACCUAAUGCUGUUAAAGCACGUUGCUUAAGGGUACAACUCCCACUGCAGCUUCCUGUCCGGGUCUUUAAGCUCUAUGCCACCUGUGUGACCUGCGUGACCCCCGAGCCCCGUUUGGUCCAGGAUCUGUCUCCCGAGCGCGUACGACGGACUGCUGUGUCCAUCUGGCCCACGAGCCAAAUCUGUCUGCGUCCACACCCCCCCCAACCCUACAGUGAACACAUGCAGCGCUCGGUGCCGCCCGCGACACUCGCCGCUCCCUUUCACAGCCAAACAUUUAGCCGCUGUUGCUAAUUAGCCACUCUGGGAGGAGGAAAAACGUGGCACUUCAAAAGGCCUUGUGCAUUUGGAGUCUCCGUCAGCAUCUCCCCCCUCGGGGCUCGGAGGUCACUCUUCUCCGCCAGAGGAGGUAGGGCGUCCAAAGAUGCGGACUUCUGGACCCUAACCUCUAACCCCCAGCUGGACAAAUGAAAGCCAGGCGGGCAGCGGGAUCCGCCAGCGUCCCAUGCGGAGAAAGGGAGCACAUCAAAGGGCCUGUUGGAAAAAGACGAGAUGUGAGAGUGUGUGUGUGUGUGUGUGUGUGUGUGUGUGUGUGUGUGUGUGUUGGG